UGAGGCUCCAACAAACAUCGGGGAUGGUGAAUAAUGAUGGCGCUGGCUUGUAUUAGAGUGACUAUCCCGACGGGGAGUUUCUUCCCAUUCCCAUCUCCCAUCAUCCCAGUCAGAUCUACCUGGUGUCCUCCUUGAACCUUCGUAUCUGCCUCGUUUUCUGUCAUAAUCUCUACUAUGUUCUCUUUCAUACGAACGACGAUCUCCCCUUCCAUGACUGCUCUCUUCACUAUUAUCCCUAUGCCGGUUUCUAUUCCUGCUUUCACCCCUGGAAUCAUCCUUAAAAUCUCUUCUCACAUUACUGCGGUCAUCUCUCCCACCCCUAGGACUGCUUGAACGGAUACCUCGAGAACUCCUAAUAGUGCUAGGAUCAUCUGAUGAUACAUUUUCUCUUGAGUGAUGACUACCAUAAAUAUCACUAAUUGUUUCUCCUUGAGUCACGGUACUUUCUUCAUGAGUGAUCUCAUGUGCAG
rnacentral:misc_RNA from 1 species